rnacentral:lncRNA from 1 species
GCUUGGCUUGGAAUUAAUUCUAAGCUUGCUUUGCUAGUUCAAAGCUUACCUCCACUAUCUCUCUCCCAUUUUAAUCUCAAUCUUCAAUGCCUAAGUUUACAUGUAACCCAAAAAAUCUAAUCGUCCUUCAAUUUUUAUUUCAAAAAUUGAUAUUAAGGCAUGUUUGAGAGAAGACAAAAAAGAGCAAGUGAUGGAAUCCUAUAUGGUUAAGAGUCAGAUUUGGGACCCCAAUUUGUUCAGAAGUUGAAUUAAGAAGA